rnacentral:misc_RNA from 1 species
AAGUAGUUGUGCAGAGCUUAGUUUGAAGUGGGAUUUGUCAUUUUCUCUGUUUUAAUUUAUUGUCAUUUGAAGUUCUGGAGACUUUUCUUUCACAUUUUUCAGUAAUCAAAUGAAGAAACCUAUUUUACUUUACACCUUGAAACAUUGCGGUGUUUGAUUCUGAUUUUGCCAUCUAUUUGUUAGAUUUUUAGUUCUGAUUCAAGUUUUCUAUAGUGAAUUUACGUGCAUGUGGAUUUUGCUUGUGGACUGCAGGAAUU